AGAGAGAGAGAGAGAAGAGAUAAAUCGAGUGAGAAAUGAAGCAAACAUACCAAAGCGGGUCACAGAAAAAUAAGAAGAAAGGCAGGAGUUUAUUUCAAAGCUGCCAAAGCUAUCAAGCUUUUUUACAGGCACUGCGGUAGCAGCGGAACAAGAGUAGCUGUCUACAUCGUUUGCUCUCACCGGUAAGUCAAGUUUUGACAGAAAGGGAGAGCGAGAGAGAGAGAGAGAGAGAGCGCACAGAUGAGGACAAACUGAGAGAGGAGACAAGCUCACAGGUGAGGACAAACAGACAGAGAGAGAGAAAGAGGAGAAAAAACAAGCUCAGAGACAGGAGAAGCAAAGAAACAGUGAGACUGAAGAGGUGACACAAAUAGACCACAAUGCCCUGUCUGUCCCCCUGCUGUGACCUACUGGAAACCUAAGGCUACUCGCAGGUUUUUCCUCCCCUCUGCUUUCCAGCUGUAGUCUAAAUAACUCGGUGCCCGGCCCAAAAUGAAACCAGUCUACUUGCCUGAUUUGGGGUAGGUGACGAUCAAAACGUCAUCGUUCUUGAACUCAAACUCCGCCGCAAAUCUCAAACUCUCUUCCGUGUGCGUCUCUUUGGGCAGCAGCAGUCCACGAUGAAUGAUGUACUUGUCGGAACACGUCGUCGCCAUGUUGCCCUGCGGGUUAGAUAGAGGUGUGGAACAAUCUGGCUUCGUGAAAGUUUUGGUGAUCACCUCCUGAGAUUGACUAUAUGCUUCCCAUUCUCGUAGUGGGCGGAGCACGAUGGACUAUCUUUUGGUUCAGAGACUCAACAUACACUUCAGGUGAUUCAAUGUUAGGAAUUCACCUGGAUUUAGGUUCGUAUUUAAUUCCAAGGGGGCGAAUAAGGAUUGAGCAAGUCAAUAUAAUUUCUGCUUAAGCGUUUCUCACUGUUGAUUCUGCUGAUGCUCUAUUACUGGUGCGUUUCUGGUUAUUGUAUUAAUGUUUUACUACUAAUGACUUUUUUAUUGUAGGUUUUAUUACUGAUCUUAUACGAUGUAGGGUGACCUUGAGUGCCAUGACAGGAGCCAUUAAAUAAAAUGUAUUGUUAUUAUAAUUAUUGAUAUUAUAAUUAUAAUAAUAAUUAUUAUUAUUAUUAUCCAUCGUCACUUCAGUGUCAAACAUGUCUGUUCUAUUCAACCAUGUAAUUCGACCUUAUGGUUCAGACUGAUCUGUUUGUUUCCCUUUGUAGUGAUUUGGGGAUCUGUGAAUGCUCUUCAUGUUCUGAAAUGCAUGAAGGCAAUGUUGAAUGGUGUUAAACCUGUUUUUCUUUGCAUUUCAUAAUCCAGCAAUUCAGUGUGGAGAAAAUAGGGAACAAUGAGUUGUAAUGUUACUGCCCCCUCACAUACCAGACCAGUAACUAAAUAUACCAAUUCCCAAUGUUAAGAACUAGACCAGCUAAAGCCGUACUAUAAACUCAUAAACCUUUACAAAGAUCAUUCAUGGUUAAACCCAUGAAUGCACACAGCCUAUUUAGUAUUUAUGUUCCUUUGCUUGCCAUUUCUGUAACAUAUGUUAGGGUCAAUGUAUAAAACUACGUGUUUGUGUGUGUAUGUGGGUGGAUUAAGUAACAGCCAUGGUGCCUUUGUAUUCCUUAAAUAAUAAGAGCUUUGUUUGAGUUGGAAAUGGCCAAAGCAGAGAGAAAGGCUGAGUGAGCAUGCCAGGGUGAAUGUGAGGGUGAGAGGAACUAAUGAAAAUGAAUAAAUGUCUGUUUGUCCUGUGUGGAUUGUAGGCCUACUUUGUUUUCAAAAAUGUCUCCCUUAACGUCUUGGCUCAAUGAAAGGGUUAGUAACAAAUAUGCUAUUUCUAAUAUGUCCUGGUACUUCUUUACUGUGUAUAACUAUAAACGUACUGGUCAUUGCUGUAAAUAAUCAUUCCGUGUAAUUGAUCAACCCUAUAGAAUCACAGGCUGAAUUAGAUGACACAUAGUCAUUCAUCAACCUAUUCCACAGCCUUGAUGCUCCAUCCUCGUUAUAUAGUUUCAUGCCAAGCAUUCUUGUUAUUGUUCAUCGUUCAGGCUCGAAACGGCAGACUCGUUAAUUUGUGACCUAAUUCAGGGGCAGAACAGAUCGACCAGGAGUAGGGCUUGUAAAUCCCUCAGCUCUGCUGCCUUGCCAACCCCAUUCAGGGAGUCCUUGUUCACCUCUCAAUGUGGCUCAACCUUUCUCAUCCUCCUCACUUUACUCCUUGGCUGGCGCCAUUAGUUUCACUUGUUUGGUCAGGGUGAGCAUACAACCCAGCACUUUGAUCCAAACGCAGACAAUCACACUGGACUCAAAAGACGGCAUGCUCCGAUGCUAUGCCCUUGACCCUGCCGGAACAAUAGGCCAAGUUCUGCUUUCAUGCUCUGGAUACUAUGCCUAUAGGCCUAUGGAAAGCACAGGUUUCCCACCAUCAGAAAACCGGACAAUCUGAAGGAUGACAAUGGACUUUCAGUGAGGACCGCUUUGAAUGAACCACAUUCCUCAGUACUUUUCGAUGUCAGUGAAACCAUCCGGUUACAAUGUAACCGGUUACACCAACCACCAACCGGUUACAUUGUCAUAACAACACAAAGGCACUAUAUGAGGGUACUUGACUUCAGCGUGCGUUUUUUCUGCCUCACUCCUGCUGUGUGCAGAGUUACAGGUAAUUCCAGUGUGGGGCAACGAGAAAACAAUUCAGACAUGAAAUGCCUUGGCACCAAAGACCAAAUUUCGUCUCAUAAACAGAAGUAGGGAGUACUCCUCUAUGGGGGUUCCACGGGUGGAAAAUGUGCAUGUGUGAUACGGGGGUGGUAUGCAAAACCUGAUACCAUGAUCCUAAAUCCCUGAAGCACUAGAGGUGUUUCAAGUACUAGCGGCAUGUCUGUGAAUGCUGGGGCGCAACAUGUAGGCGAAAGAGCUGUCAAGCGGAGUAAGUGUAAACCUUGAUGGUCAACACCCUUGCCAGACACUUGGUACUACUGUAGAGCAGAAGGAUUCUUCCCUAGAUUGAGAGGAGAGCAUGAGCCCCCAGCUGCUCCCAAUGGGAACACGUGGGCCACCGGGUAGAGCCAUAUGCAAGGCAAGAAGUAGGCCUACUAAUCAGUAAACUACUGAUUCAGGAAAAAACCUGCAUGUGAGUGAGGGGAAAAAAAGAAAGUCCAGAGGUUCAGAGAUCAGAGGGGUGUUCCAAGAACGGAGGUUUAACAAACACUGAGUUAACGCUGAACUCUAGGUUGAUUGACCCUGUGCCGACCAACCCAGAGUUUUCGGUUCCACAGCAGCGGUUUUGCAUUAGUUCAAUCAACUCGGGGUUGGUUAACACAGGGUUGUGCCCGUCCACGCCAAACCUAAAAAGACGUGAUGUAUGGAUCAUGGAAACCCUGAUCGAUAUGGCGAAACGGGCCGCUUAUUUCAAUGAAAUGGAACUCCAGGUUCUCCUGGAGAGCUAUGACGAGGAGAAGGACAUUAUCACAAGAAAAGGGAACGCUAAAGCCUCUGCAACCCGGAGAACCAAAGCCUGGCAGCGGAUCGCUGACCGCGUAAAUGCGUUAGUUACACGUCAAAAGCAUGAUCCUUAAUAUGAAUGAUUGAAUUGAAUUGAAUGUAGGUUUUUGUGUUUUCUUGUAUUUUAGAUUUUUUUUGCCUUCGAAGUAACACAUGCAAACCGUGUGCUUGCCACAGCGCAUACUAUUCCAAAUGUUUCUUUUUUUGGUAACUGGGUAGAAAACCUAAAAGUGACAAUUCAUCAACUUCACAGAUCAAGAUGGAUUAGUGCUUGUAAUGAAGCCGCCGGCUACGAUCGAACAUUCUCCAGUGGAUGCAAGUCUGUUAGGACUAUUUUAUACUUUAUGUUGUAAAUGCCUCUCGGCAUAGUGCUCAGACAAUAUUGCUCUUUGUAUGAUAGGAGGCCGAUACAAAUCUUGGAUGGGUCAUUUGAAACGACUGAGAUGUGCUCAGCAUCUCCAACAUUAUAGCCUAGAUAAAACUACCAUUUGCAAAAAACGGAGGGCUACGCAAAUAGUCUGGAGUGAACUGAGGCCAGUUCCUCGAAUGGUAGUGUUGGCUAUGUAAGGCUAUUUAAAUAUAUUAAAGAUUUGCGCAAGAAUCUAUAUCUCUCCACUCCAGCAAAAAGUCAUCCAUUAUGCCAAGAUGUCGAGCCGUGGUCUUAUCAAUCGCUCCCGGUGGAUUGCACGUAUAAUUUGUACUCCGAUAUCAGCAGUUCUCUCAUCAAAAGGGCAUGCCAUCGUGAACACAUGAAAUCUGCGGUGAACGCCGGUUUAAAUACCCAAAACCGGUUUAUGUUUCAAACUUAACCUGCGCAAAACCUGCUCCGACCAGGUUUGAUUCAGAGCAUAUGUUUCUAUAGCAACUAACAUACCGUGAUCCUUUUGGAACGGAAAACCUAGGCUAGGGUUACCGCAAACCCUGGGUUAACUUACCCGGUUAUGUGAUAAAACCGGCUUUGUGGAAUACCCCUCUGGAAUGGAGGGGGUUGAGAUUGAUAAUAAUAAUAAUAAUAAUAAUAAUAAUAAUACAUAGGUUUUAUAUAGCCUGAUUUAUAACUGAUAAGCAAAUAGAGGGGUUAAAGAAAGUGCCUGUUUUGUACAAUUUGUCAUUAUAUCAUAUCAAGACAUUUGGCAUAUGCUGUUCCUCUGAAUGGCAAAAUGUAACUAAAUUUUUCCUGACUUAUCAGGUCAACGGUGGCCUUCAUAAAUUCCUGGAUAGCAGAUAGACACAAGUUGUCAUUGUUGCUAUUGGUUUGAAUACGAACCAAGAGGAAUCAUUUAUUGUAAAGGGGCACCAGAGAGCAACCAUUAAUUGUAUUCCACAUGUAAAGGGCAGCCAAUAAGGCACUUUCUCUAGUAUUCACCACUCUAAAAGGCACUUUUUCAGCAUGGAGGCACUGUGAGGGCAAUAAGAGGGGACUCAUUGAGGCACGUUAUCGAAUUUUCUAAUCUAGACGGCUCAUCAUCAUAAUUUAUUGUAUGAAGGGGCACCAGAGGGCACCGAAUAAUUUUUUUUCUCUCGUAUUCGCCACUCUUGAGGGCACUUUUAUAACUAUGGAGGCCCCCCUCCCUGAGUCGGCCACUGAUUAUAUUACCAUACCCAAUUCUGAAAUAAAUGAAAAAAGUAUAGCGUUAUCCCAUCUAUAUCAAUCAUUUGAUGAGGGUGUUAUUUUAUUCAAACCGAUUAACAAACACUUACAGCCCACUGUGUGAGUGAUGAAGUAGGGGAAAUAGGCCAAGGCGAAGCAGUUAACGAAAUGACAGUAAGUCAUGGCGUCUAGGGACGGGAUUACAGCACCCUGUCAAACACACAACCGUGCAACGUCAGGACACAACAGUGACACAAUCCUAGCAGGGUACCGGCGUCUUUGUCACGAACAACAUGACACUAUUCAUGUUUAUCCUCCAUCGUUUGGUAUUUACAGGGAACGAUGCUUGCAACGCUGUCGCUUGACCAAUUUGAAUUGAGAGGAUUAACGUCAGUCUCUACCAGCGGGUCCUACGAAUUAUACUUUGAAUAAACACAAACGUUUAGUGAUGAGGUUAUCGAAAACCAAAAAGGAAAGACACCGCUUUGUUUG